UGGGGAAUAUUGGACAAUGGGCGAAAGCCUGAUCCAGCCAUGCCGCGUGUGUGAAGAAGGUCUUCGGAUUGUAAAGCACUUUAAGUUGGGAGGAAGGGCAGUAAGCGAAUACCUUGCUGUUUUGACGUUACCGACAGAAUAAGCACCGGCUAACUCUGUGCCAGCAGCCGCGGUAAUACAGAGGGUGCAAGCGUUAAUCGGAAUUACUGGGCGUAAAGCGCGCGUAGGUGGUUCGUUAAGUUGAAUGUGAAAGCCCCGGGCUCAACCUGCGAACUGCAUCCAAAACUGGCGGGCUAGAGUAGGGCAGAGGGUGGUGGAAUUUCCUGUGUAGCGGUGAAAUGCGUAGAUAUAGGAAGGAACACCAGUGGCGAAGGCGACCACCUGGGCUCAUACUGACACUGAGGUGCGAAAGCGUGGGGAGCAAACAGG
rnacentral:rRNA from 1 species